AAAGAAGUCCUAAAAUAAAUGUUUAUUUAGGUAAAGGCGCUUACGAAAAGCACUAAGUAGGUAAUUAAAUACCUAUAGAUUGUGCACAGCCAUAAAAUAGAUGGGUAAUCUUAAUGAUUUUCUAUGCAAUUAGACUAGAUGUAGGCUUAAUAUUCACUAUUACAUUGAUUUAUGCACAUAAUAGAAAAUAUUUUAUGCCUUUAGGGUCUAAAUUCAUUGCCUGCACAGACUGAAGGGGACAAAUUAGG